AUAAGUGGCAGUGCAUAUACUUCCAGCAGUAUUAUAAUUAAUAUGGAAUGCAUUAUACUGAGCAAGUUCUAGUACUUCAAAUGACAAGUUGUAAUGUUUUGAAUGUCUUAUGAUAUAUGCUAAUUUACUACUGUUAUGCUAUAUUUUAUAUUACUUAUAACUUGCUUAUAUGUUGUGUCGCUAGGAUGGUGUUUUGAUUAGCAAUACUGGACUAUCUUUUUGAGACUAUCUUAUUUGUCAUUUUAAUUUUCUGUCACUAUGAGUCAUGAUUAGUUUUUUUACAAUUUUAUCUUUGAUUUCAAAUUUUUUACCACUGGAUAGUUUAAUUUUUUUUUGUUUUCUGUGUGUAUAUUGCUCUUCUAUUUUUAUUCUAUUAAAAAAUUCAUUAAUCCAAAUCCAUUUAUAAGAAGCACUUCUAAAAAGUCAUUAAAAUUCUUUUUUAUAUCAGAAUAUGAAAAAAAUUAUUGCAGCAGUAAUUGUGUCGUAUAUUUAAGAGUCAUAAAUCAGCUUGUAAACAGAAAAGUUAUGCUCAAUGACUUAAAGGUUCCGUAAAUUUACAAGUACUAUUGAAAAUGUCUUCGCAAAAUUCGAUAUGGGAAGGAGUAUGUGUGUCUGUUUUCCUCAAAUUUAACUACAGAAUGUGAUACUUCCAUUAACUGCAAAAAGUUUAUGAGGGAAUGAUUCAUUAAUAAAUGAGUCUCGAUUUACGAAUGGUAAUCCGGAAUCCACUUAUGGUUAUCUGAAAUAAUCGGUGCCUAGUGUUGCUACUCGAGAAAUUUGCUAAGUAAUACCAUCUAAUUUUUGUGUGAAACGUAUCAGAGCAAUUAAAGUUGAAUAAGCUCUAAACACUUUGUUUAGCAAAUGACAACUUGUGAUAAUAGUUUAAUACGUUAAAAUCUAAAAACUACACCUAAUUCACUUGCUGGAUGUCCUCAUAAUAUCAACGUCUUCCAAGUAAAUUGAUAAGAACUGUCUACGAGAUCGAGUCAUGUACAAGUCGAAGUUAUUCUGAUGUGCAAAUCGAUCGUCUGAUUUUGGUAUAGGGGCGAAAGACUAAUCGAACUGUCUAGUAGCUAGUUUCUUCUGAAGUUUCCGUCAGGAUAGCUGGAGCACGUAAUAAAGUAGUUAUAUCCGGUAAAGCGAAUGAUUAGAGGAAUUACAGGGCGAAACGUCUACAACCUAUUCUCAAACUUUCAAUGAGUAUGACUCUUGCUUGCUUGAAUGAAGCAUAGAAUUAAAUGUCUACUCCAAGUGUGCCAUUUCUGGUAAGCAUAACUGGCGCUGUAGAAUGAAUCAAACGUUGAGUUAAAGUGCUAAACUUUCCGCUUCUGAGACCUCAUGAAAUGCGUUGCUUGAUAUAUACAGCAGGACGGUGGUCAUGGAAGUUGGAAACCGUUAAGGAAUGUGUAACAACUCACCUGCCAAAUCAACUAGCUCUGAAAAUGGAUGGCGCUUGAGCGGAAGACUUAUACUCAACCACUGCAUGGCUUGUAUUUAAAUUAAAUAAAAAAAAACAACAAAAAAAACAUGGCCGCUACGAAUAAGAGGUUGGCAAUGGUUAACGUUAAAGAUUUUGGGCGUAGGCCCAAUUGGAGCUUCCAUUAGUGCAAAUCUUGGUGGUAGCAACAAAUAUUCAAGUGAGAUCUUUGAAAACUGAAGUGGAGAAGGGUUCCACGAACAGCAAAUGAAUGUGGAUCAGUCGAUCCUAAGAACUUGGCCAAUGCCGUUUAAUAAAAUAGAGGAAUAGAGGUGUAAUCCAUCAGAUAGAAUCGAAAAAGAAAUAGGUUAAUAUUUCCUACGUGGACACGGAGGUAGCGCGGUAACGCAAAUGAACUCGGAAAAUUAAAGAAAGCCCGAGCCAGAGUUCUCUUUUCUGGUUAAGGAACGGACUCCCUGGAAUCGAUUUAGCCGGAGAUAGGGACGUUGUUUCCGUAAAGCGCCACGGUUCCUGUGGUGCCUCGUGCGCUUUGUUCGAUCCAUGAAAAUCCGAGGGAAGCUAUUUGAAUUUCGUGCCAGAUCGUACCCAUAUCCGCAGCAGGUCUCCAAGGUGAACAGCCUCUAGUCGAUAGAAUAAUGUAGGUGAGGGAAGUCGGCAAAUUAGAUCCGUAACUUCGGAAUAAGGAUUGGCUCUAAGGACUGGGCCGGUCGGGCUGUAAUGUAAAGUGAGUAUGAUUUGAUCCAUGCAAUGUAACAUUAAUGCUUAAAAUCAUUGAUGAAACCCGGUUAGUAUUCGAACUGUCUUAUGGACCGUUAUAGCUGUGUAUCACAUUUACUUUUUUUCCAAAAAAAUGAAUGUUUAAUUGAUAUUUCGGCCGGCGUCAAACAGUUAACUUAGAACUGGCACGGACUCGGGGAAUCCGACUGUCUAAUUAAAACAGAGGAGACAGAUGGCCCUUGCGGGCGUUGACUGUCUCUGAUUUCUGCCCAGUGCUCUGAAUGUAAAAGUGAAGAAAUUCAACCAAGCGCGGGUAAACGGCGGGAGUAACUAUGACUCUCUUAAGGUAGCCAAAUGCCUCGUCAUCUAAUUCGUGACGCGCAUGAAUGGAUUAACGAGAUUCCCACUGUCCCUAUCUACUAUCUAGCGAAACCACAGCCAAGGAACGGGCUUGGUAAACACAGCGGGGAAAGAAGACCCUGUUGAGCUUGACUCUAGUCCGACUCUGUGAAGAUCAUGAGAGGUGUAGCAUAAGUGGGAGGUAUUAAAUUUAAUUUAAUACCAUCAGUGAAAUACCACUACUUUCAUCGAUUCUUUACUUAUUCGGUAAAACGAGAAUUGAAAUAUUUAUUAAAAUGUUUCGAAAUUUUUGAUUUAAAUUAAAUUACUCGGUAAUUUAAUGACUUGCACCGAAGACAGUGUCAGGCGGGGAGUUUGACUGGGGCGGUACAUCUGUCAAAAUGUAACGCAGGUGUCCUAAGGCUAGCUCAGAGAGGACGGAAACCUCUCGUAGAGUAAAAGGGCAAAAGCUCGCUUGAUCUUGAUUUCCAGUACGAAUACAGACCGCGAAAGCGUGGCCUAUCGAUCCUUUUGAAUUAAUUAGAAGGUUUCUAGCAAGAGGUGUCAGAAAAGUUACCACAGGGAUAACUGGCUUGUGGCAGCCAAGCGCCCAUAGCGACGUUGCUUUUUGAUCCUUCGAUGUCGGCUCUUCCUAUCAUUGCGAAGCAGAAUUCGCCAAGCGUUGGAUUGUUCACCCACCAAUAGGGAACGUGAGCUGGGUUUAGACCGUCGUGAGAAAGGUUAGUUUUACCCUACUGUGAUAUGUUGUUGCGAUAGUAAUCCUGCUCAGUACGGGAGGAACCGCAGGUUCAGACAUUUGGUUCAUGUGCUUGGCCAAUCGGCCAAUGGUGCGAAGCUACCAUCUGAGGGAUUAUAACUGAAACGCCUCGAAGUCAGAAUCUCACCUAGACAAGGCGACGAUAAUUACAGCUAAUGCCCUAUUAUAUGGUCUUGCUACUUAAUCGAGUGGUUAAAUGGUUGCCAAAACGGGUUAUGCAUAUCAAAUAAAUGAUAUUUUUGAUUUAAAUUAUUUUUAUAAAAUAAAUAAAUAAAUAUAUUUAUAAAAACUAUUUUCAAUAAUUUCAAUGAAUGAGCAAUCAAUUUAUACACAUACUAACACAUAGAGAAUAAUAGCAGCAGCAGUAUUAAUUUGAUAUAUAUGUAUGUACAUGUGUAAUACGAUUACAUGCGUAAAGCAAAUCAAAUAAUGGUAUAUAUGUAUAAUAAAUAAAUAUAUACAUAUAUAUAUCGAAUAAAUGAAAUGCUCCGUUGUAUGAUUUGAAGUUUAUAUUAUAUUUAAUAUAGAAAAUUGAAAUUUAUUUCCUGUUGAUAAGCGAAAGAAAAUAAAAAUAUCACUGAUUAUAAAUAACAAAUGAAUAAAUGGAUAGAUGGAUGGAUGGAUGAAUGAAUGAAGAAAAGAUAAAGAAAAGAAAGAAUGAAUAAAUAAAUAACACAAUAAUAUACUAUAUGAUAAUAAUAAUGAUAAUAUUAUUAUUUAAUAUAUAUUAUAUAUAAUGUGUUAUAUUAUUCUUUUUCUUUUUCUUUUCUUUUCUUUUUUUUCAUACAUUUCUCCGACUGAUUCUGUCGGCGGUUAUAUGCUUGUCUCAAAGGCUAAGCCAUGCAUGUCUAAAUUCAGAUAAACCUAUAAUGGUGAAACCGCGAACGGCUCAUUAUAACAGCUAUAAUGUUUUGAUGAUGAUUAUCCAACGUGGAUAACCGUGGCAAUUCUAGAGCUAAUACGUGCACCAAAGCUCCGGCUUUUGAACAAGCGCAUCUAUUAGAUUAAAACCAAUCGGGUUAUUUGGCCCGUUAAUUGGUGACUCUGAAUAGCUAUCAGAUUGAAUCUGAUGAUUGCACAAACUCAGAUAUCAAGCAUAACAAUUUAAAUUAAUGGUAGCAGACUUAUUUUAAAUCUAUUUUAUUUUCGAAUUUUAUUUCCUCUUUGCUUAAAUUUUGGACAUCUUUUAAGAUUUAUAAAAUCAUUAUAUUAUUUUGACAUUUUAAUUUUUCCCUUUUCAUGCAUUUGUCAUUUUUACACAAAGCAAUCUUCGGAUCAGUUGGAUUAAAUGACAUCACGUCAUCCUUUACAUUAUGCAAAUCAACAAAUUCAUCAAUUGACCAUAGUUAAUAUGAAUUAAUUAUCUUUCGAUCGCUGAUGGUAUUUCGAUUACUCAAAUCAAUUGUAACUAAUUUCCAUUCAUUUAAUUUACCGAUAAAUGAUUAAAUGCUUAUUAAACAAAAACUUGCUUUUGGACUUACUCUCAUCCGUCUUACAAAUGUCACUCAAUUUUCGCUCAUUUCAUUAGCCAUAUUAUUGAUUAGAAUGCUGUGUCAAAUUUUAUAACGAUAUUACUAUAAGUUCAAAUUUAAUAUCAGAUAUUUCGAUAAUUUUUAUUGCAAUGGUGUCAUGUGAAAUUUCCAAAUAAUAUACCAACUAUCAUUCAUCGAUGAAUUGAGAAGGCAAAUUUAUGCUCAAAGUCAUUUGGAAUGAAAACCCUUUUGAAUUGUUUCGUGAAAGAGGGAGUUAACUUUUAAAGUUUCAGUCUUGUAAAUCUGAUAUUCUUGCGUGAUGAUUAGUUUUUCAACAUCUAUAUCUUUGAUUUGCAAUUAUUUCCCAUUAGGUAAUUUGAUUAAUCUUAAAGAAUUUUGUGUUUUUGCUUGUUGUCCAUGUUGCUAUCGCUUCAAAAUAAUUAAUUUAGUUUGCUAUUAAUUGCUGGAAACUCAAUGCUUCCAUCUAAUUAAUUUAUUUUAAAGUGAUAAUGAAUCCAUAUGAUUACUUCUAUUACAAUCAUAUACAAUAUUCAAUUUGUUUUGUAAAGCAUAAAAAUGAAUAAAAUAUAAUAAUAAUAGAAAUAAAUCAUUCCAGAUUUGAAAUGAUUAAAAUAUGUCAAAAAGAAGAGCAAUAGAUUUGAGCAUACAUUUUGCAUAUAUUUUAUCAAUUUUCAAAAAACGAUUUUCCCAUGUUUGAGAAGGAAAAGAAUUUAAUAAAAAUAUUGAAUUCUGUUGCCAGUUGCAUUGAUAUUGCAAAGAAAAUCAUGACUUUUAUUUGCAUACAUUUGCAUAAAUCUAUGAUUUUGAUGAUGCCAUGAAAAAAUUUCUAUUGCUUCACAAAACAUUUACAAUAUUCAUGAUUAAAAAGCUCGCUUUUUAUUCUAUAAGUCGUUUUUAUCGCUAUAUUUAGACAAAAUUAUGCAAAAAAGCUCAUAUAAUUAUGCAAAAAGUUUAAGAGCAUUAUAUUAUAAAUUGGUCAUAGAUCGCAUACAAUUGAAACGUUUAAAAUCAGUCUCUAAAUAACUCUCCAAAUCAGUAUAACAUUUAAUACUUGCUACAGUUCACUUUCUUCUGAUUUAUAUAUUUUGUGAAAAAAUAUCUAAAAUAUUUUCCAGAAUUUCUACGCCAAGUUCUAUUCCGUAUUUUAAUCAUUACCAUUUAUCCGUGUAAAUUGAUUGCGACUCAAUAUGCUACUAUCUUAUUACUUUCCUGUAGCUCUAUUCUCAUUUUGCAUAACACAAGUAGUGGUAAGUGAAUUAUUCACUGCUUUGACUAUAAAAAUUAAAUAUCGAUAAAUUUUUCGUCUAAAAGUAAAAAACUUUUAUUAGUUUUUCUCAUUAUUUUCGAAGCAGUCAAUGUUUUGCGUUUAAACAUCAAUUUGCAGCAUAAAAAAUAGUUUAGUUUCCUCGAAAUAUUUCGAAGAUAUCAAUUGUCAAUAUUUUUGUCUAUCCACAUUAUAUUUUACCUUAAAUAAAUCACAAUUAAACAGCAAAAAUGAUAUUUCUCCUCAAAAUAUUAUUUU